AUCCAGUUGAUGAGUCCUAAAUAGGACGAAACGCGCAUCAAACUGGAU
rfam:Schistosoma mansoni strain Puerto Rico chromosome W, complete genome